GUUGCUCCGUUUCCCAGGAUGGACCCCGCGGUGUCGCUGCUGCUGUUACUCGCCCUCUCGCCCUGUGUCCGGUCCCAAAUCCAGCUGGUCCAGUCCGGGCCGGGCGCGGUGAAGCCCGGAGAGACCCUCACCCUGAGCUGCGCCGUGUCUGGUUACACCAUUUCUUCUGGCUACGACUGGGCUUGGAACCGGCAGGCUCCCGGAAAAGGUUUAGAAUACCUGGGGCUUGUGUAUGGACCCAGCGGGAGCACAAACUACGCCCCGGCCUUCCAGAGCCGGAUCAGCGUCGCCAGAGACACCGCCAAGAACCAGUUCUCCCUGCAGCUCCGCUCGCUGACAGCUGCAGACACCGCCACCUAUUACUGCGCCAGGGGAGACACAGUGACACAGAGCGCAGCAGGGCCCGUACUAAAAGGGGAAGCGGUUUCUGUGCAGCCAUUCAGGGCACUUAACGCCUCAUUUUCCUCUCGCGGAGAGGGGCAGGAACAGAGAAGGGAGAAUCUCUAA